CUUCCUGGGGUGGGGCACACGGCAGACGCAACUAUCUGCAGCCUCACCGCAUCAAUCCUUUCAUAACUCUUUCUUCUUCAUCCUGGUGAUUUCAGGAAACUUCACAAAAAAACUUCACACUGUCCGCUGUUCCGAUCGAACAAUGAUGUCGGAGGCACAGAAAAGCAGAGAGGCUGGUUUCAGGAGGAUUCCAGGACUCUCCCUUCUCUUCAUCCUGCUCUGCUUCCUUUGCUCUGCAAAUGCAACCAAAGUUUCACUGGAAACAGUGAAGAAGUCUCAUCAGAUAGCGACAGAAAGACUGAAAACAUUGAAGGCUUGGUACCAGGAGAUAAUGGCAGCUUAUGAAGAAGUGAUGGCUUUCUACCAAACAUUUUGGGAUGAAGUGAUGUGGACGGAGGGCGAUGCAUUUGCUGACUCUCCUUCAUAUGACUGGUAUCAGAAGAACACGGAGCAGAUAAAGUUUUUAGAUAAGUACACCGAGAAUAUAAGAAUUGGAAUGAAUGCACAGGAAAAGAAACUGGAAGAACAGGAUAUUAUCAUUAAAUGCCUUGAGAGUCACCGCCAUGAUGAACUUUGAGUCCAGUUAGAAAGUAUUAGUAUGAGCAGCAGCACGUCUGUUUAGUUUCUUUGUCGUAUUGCUAAAUGUCUUCAUAUUUCUUGAGGUGGUGUCAUGAUUUUAGUUCAAUUUCAAGUUUCUUGUAUUGGAACUUAUGCCAAACUAGUUAAAAUUGCAUGUGCUUUUAUAUUUUUUUUUCUUUGCAAGCUCAGUGUCUUUGUGAUGAAUAUUAUCAAGAUAUCAGUUUUCUGAAAGAUCUAAAAAUUCUUUUGCAUUAUUUGAGGUAAUUGUAAAUAUUAACUGCUGAUGCACAGACUGAGGGUUGCUUCCUGCUUUGAAACAGACAGCUUGAGGAAAACGACACCCACGAUUACAUCUUCCGUUACAAUAAUGACUGCAGUCAUGUGAGGCUACUGACAGACGUGGAACAUAAAGCUGCUGAGCUGGAUUCUGUCUCUGAUUCUUUAUUUCUGUAUUAAAGAUUUACAUUCAUUUUGCUGCAUUUACUACUGAUCUGUAAAUUUGUUUGCUUUUUUUGUUCUCAAUCAGUUUGAAAAAUAAAGA